UACGUAGGGGGCUAGCGUUGUCCGGAAUCAUUGGGCGUAAAGCGCGUGUAGGCGGUCCUGUAAGUCCGCUGUGAAAGUCGGGGGCUCAACCCUCGGAUGCCGGUGGAUACUGUCGGGCUUGAGUACGGAAGAGGCGAGUGGAAUUCCUGGUGUAGCGGUGAAAUGCGCAGAUAUCAGGAGGAACACCAAUUGCGAAGGCAGCUCGCUGGGACGUGACUGACGCUGAGACGCGAAAGCGUGGGGAGCAAACAGG
rnacentral:rRNA from 1 species